UGAAACUGCGAAUGGCUCAUUAAAUCAGUUAUCGUUUAUUUGAUAGUACCUUACUACUUGGAUAACCGUGGUAAUUCUAGAGCUAAUACAUGCUAAAAACCCCGACUUCGGAAGGGGUGUAUUUAUUAGAUAAAAAACCAAUGCCCUUCGGGGCUCCUUGGUGAUUCAUGAUAACUUAACGAAUCGCAUGGCCUUGCGCCGGCGAUGGUUCAUUCAAAUUUCUGCCCUAUCAACUUUCGAUGGUAGGAUAGUGGCCUACCAUGGUAUCAACGGGUAACGGGGAAUUAGGGUUCUAUUCCGGAGAGGGAGCCUGAGAAACGGCUACCACAUCCAAGGAAGGCAGCAGGCGCGCAAAUUACCCAAUCCCGACACGGGGAGGUAGUGACAAUAAAUACUGAUACAGGGCUCUUUUGGGUCUUGUAAUUGGAAUGAGUACAAUUUAAAUACCUUAACGAGGAACAAUUGGAGGGCAAGUCUGGUGCCAGCAGCCGCGGUAAUUCCAGCUCCAAUAGCGUAUAUUAAAGUUGUUGCAGUUAAAAAGCUCGUAGUUGAACCUUGGGCCUGGCUGGCCGGUCCGCCUCACCGCGUGUACUGGUCCGGCCGGGCCUUUCCUCCUGGGGAUCCGCAUGCCCUUCACUGGGUGUGUCGGGGAACCAGGACUUUUACUUUGAAAAAAUUAGAGUGUUCAAAGCAGGCCUUUGCUCGAAUACAUUAGCAUGGAAUAAUAGAAUAGGACGUGCGGUCCUAUUUUGUUGGUUUCUAGGACCGCCGUAAUGAUUAAUAGGGAUAGUCGGGGGCAUCAGUAUUCAAUUGUCAGAGGUGAAAUUCUUGGAUUUAUUGAAGACUAACUACUGCGAAAGCAUUUGCCAAGGAUGUUUUCAUUAAUCAGUGAACGAAAGUUAGGGGAUCGAAGACGAUCAGAUACCGUCGUAGUCUUAACCGUAAACUAUGCCGACUAGGGAUCGGGCGAUGUUAUUAUUUUGACUCGCUCGGCACCUUACG
rnacentral:rRNA from 1 species